AUUGAACGCUGGCGGCAGGCCUAACACAUGCAAGUCGAACGAGUGGCGGACGGGAGAGUUAGGUCUGGGAAACUGCCUGAUGGAGGGGGAUCACUACUGGAAACGGUAGCUAAUACCGCAUACCUUCGGAUGUGCCCAGAUGGGAUUAGCUAGUGGGUGGGGUAAUCGCCCACCUAGGCGACGCUCCCUUGCUGGUCUGAGAGGAUUAUCAGCCACCCUGGGACUGAGACACGUCCCAGAUGCCUACGGGAGGCAGCAGUGGGGAAUAUUGCACAAUGGGCGAAAGCCUGAUGCAGCCAUGCCGCGUGUAUGAAGAAGGCCCUAGGGUUGUAAAGUACUUUCAGUCGGGAGGCGUUACCGACAGAAGAAGCACCGGCUAACUCCGUGCCAGCAGCCGCGGUAAUUC
rnacentral:rRNA from 1 species